rnacentral:rRNA from 1 species
ACGGGUGAGUAAUGUCUGGGAAACUGCCUGAUGGAAGGGGAUAACUACUGGAAACGGUCGCUAAUACCGCAUAACGUCUCAAGACCAAAGUGGGGGACCUUCGGGCCUCACGCCAUCGGAUGUGCCCAGAUGGGAUUAGCUAGUAGGUGGGGUAACGGCUCACCUAGGCGACGAUCCCUAGCUGGUCUGAGAGGAUGACCAGCCACACUGGAACUGAGACACGGUCCAUACUCCUACGGGAGGCAGCAGUGGGGAAUAUUGCACAAUGGGCGCAAGCCUGAUGCAGCCAUGCCGCGUGUGUGAAGAAGGCCUUCGGGUUGUAAAGCACUUUCAACGAGGAGGAAGGCAGUAAGGUUAAUACCCUUGCUGAUUGACGUUACUCGCAGAAGAUGCACCGGCUAACUCCGUGCCAGCAGCCGCGGUAAUACUGAGGGUGCAAGCGUUAAUCUGAAUGACUGGGCGUAAAGCGCACGCAAGCGGUUUGUUAAGUUGGAUGUGAAAUCCCCGGGCUUAACCUGGGAACUGCAUUCAAAACUGGCAAGCUAGAGUCUCGUACAGGGGGGUAGAAUUCCAGGUGUAGC